rnacentral:ncRNA from 1 species
AUUCUGGUUGAUCCUACCAGUGAUAUACGCUCGUCUCAAAGGUUAAGCCAUGCAUGUCUAAGUACAAGCUUCCUAGAAAGUGAAACCGCAUAAGGCUCAGUAUAACAGCUAUAAUUUACAAGAUCCUCAUCCAAACAGUUACUUGG